UACGUAGGGGGCAAGCGUUGUCCGGAUUUAUUGGGCGUAAAGAGCGUGUAGGCGGCCACGCAGGUCCGUUGUGAAAACUCGAGGCUCAACCUCGAGACGCCGAUGGAAACCGCAUGGCUAGAGUCCGGAAGAGGAGAGUGGAAUUCCUGGUGUAGCGGUGAAAUGCGCAGAUAUCAGGAGGAACACCGGUGGCGAAGGCGGGUCUCUGGGCCGUUACUGACGCUGAGGAGCGAAAGCGUGGGGAGCGAACAGG
rnacentral:rRNA from 1 species